rnacentral:misc_RNA from 1 species
GUGGGAGGGGGCUUGCCCCCGAUGGCGGUGGUUCAGUGCCAGUUGUAUCAGCUGACAGAAUGCUAUCGGGGGCAAGCCCCCUCCCAC